UACGUAGGGUGCAAGCGUUGUCCGGAAUUAUUGGGCGUAAAGGGCGCGUAGGCGGUGCGAUCAGUCAGGCGUGAAAGGCCCGGGCUCAACCCGGGGACUGCGCUUGAUACUGUUGCGCUGUGAGUCCGGGAGAGGAUGGCGGAAUUCCCAGUGUAGAGGUGAAAUUCGUAGAUAUUGGGAAGAACACCGGCGGCGAAGGCGGCCAUCUGGACCGGCACUGACGCUGAGGCGCGAAAGCGUGGGGAGCAAACAGG
rnacentral:rRNA from 1 species